rnacentral:lncRNA from 1 species
GACAAAGUCUCACACACUGGGUAAUGGUCACCAAUGGAAUCAGCCACAAGUUUUGUGCUCUUUUUUUCAGGGAUCAGAAAAUUAGUAAUUGCAAACCAUGGAUGAAAUUUAUAAGAUCGCUUCCACAGAAAGGAUCCAGGUGUUGGAAAAAGAACUGGCUACACAAUUGACUGAACUGAAGUCUGAGAUAGAAGAACAAUGGACUCUCCAGGGGUCAGCUCAUCAAACUUACAGCUCUGUUCGAAUGCCGAAGGACAUCUCUUACUUUAGAAGAGAAAGGGAACUGGCCCUAAAGAAAACUUUACAGGUGGCUGAGUCAAAGUCCCUUGUUAUUCAAUCAGAUGUCAUGCAGAGGGAGCUAGAGAGCUGCCUAAGGAGAGAGUACACUCCUGAAAAUUUACCUUUGCUUCUGUUGCAGCAUUAUACAGAGAGAAUUACCCAGCUGGCCCAGAGUAAAUAUUUACACAUGCUUAGGUGGAAGAGAUUUUGCCAUCACAGUAAGAUCAUGGAGCAACUUUAUCCUUUUUACAAGGCUCUCCAGUAUUUACCCAUCUCCAAAGCUCUGAGUGUAGCUGUUGACGAAGUCCCUGAGGUUGGUCAGGAAAAUGAAGUUUCCUGUUGA